rnacentral:rRNA from 1 species
GACGAACCGUGCGAACGUUGUUCGGAAUCACUGGGCUUAAAGGGCGCGUAGGCGGCCGGGUUGGUCGCGGGUGAAAUCCCCCAGCUUAACUGGGGAACUGCCUACGAUACUGCCUGGCUCGAGGGAGGAAGGGGCGGUCGGAACUGUCGGUGGAGCGGUGAAAUGCGUUGAUAUCGACAGGAACGCCGGUGGCGAAAGCGGACCGCUGGCCCUCUUCUGACGCUGAGGCGCGAAAGCCAGGGGAGCGAACGGG